ensembl:lncRNA
GUAAAGGCUGUUGGUGCUGAAGUGUCUCUGGGGCGGCGGCGGAGGCCGCUGGUGCUGAGGCAGCGGUUGUGAAGGUGGCACGUUGGGACGCAGCUGGGAAGAGCUGCCAAUUGACAACGAACUCGGGGGAUUUACAGAAUAAAGGAUGGCACCGUGCUUAAAAGUGCCACGGGCUGGUUUUGUUGUCCUGGAAAUUCCCUCUGAAAAUGUUACGGUGCUCAGUAAAUCAAAUCCUGCCGGAUUCAUCUUUACUGCUUGGAGAGCAGGAGUUCCAAUGUGCAGCAGUCGGGCACAAUCCGAAGCGUGUGGAAUAGUGAGAUUUCGGGACAGCCUUUGCUCCUCGUGGCUGAGCUCCGUGUGCGUGGAGAUGUACACGUUGGGUCACAAAUAACACGCGUUGAGGUGGUGUACCCAGAUGGAGGUUUGUUGUGUAUUACUCCAAAUAUACAAAAAUAAAAUAACCAUUGAUCACAGAGGGAUGGCAGGAUAUGCCUCUAAAGAGCUCUGCUGAAAUAUCCACAUAUGUUCUGUAUCUGUAGUGAUGAAGAGAUGAAAGCAGAGUUGGCUCUCUGGAAAAAUGCAGUGAAGGAUCUUUAAAUCCGUAUGUUUCACAAGAGUUGGAAGUAUUCAAUUCCUUCAAGAUGUUUCAGAAAACAGCAUUUACGGUCUCAAUUUUAAAACAUCGUUUGGAGGUCGGCGAUGGAAGCAGCGGUAACCUUUAACGCCGCGGGGAAUGGGAACGCGGCAGCGCGAGUUGCCGCCGGAGGACAUCGGGACCCACCCUUCCAGCGGCAGGUAACCGCUCCGCGCGGCGCUUUUAUCACUGCAGCUUCGGGGGAGCGAUUCUCACCGGGGCCGCGGCGCGGG